GCCUUCGUGGUGUAACGGUAGCACACUCGGCAUGUAUUCGAAAAGUCCAGGUUUGAAUUUUGGCGAAAGCA
rnacentral:tRNA from 1 species